GGGGCCAGAAGUCAGAAUGCAAUGUGUGGAAGAAAGGUAGAGUUUGGGAAGAAAGGCUUUGAGUGUUUCAGAAGUUUGGGCAUAAAAGGAAAUUUAGAAACAGGAAGGAGCCACAGCAUCAUUUGGAGGUUUUUGUGAUGAAAGAAUUUCCUUGUGGCUUCUGAAGGCCAAGAGAGGAGAACCAGCAGAGAGUUACUGACCAAAGCUAUUGAAGAAUGGUAUAAAAUGGUGGUGACAGAGCCCUUGAGAUGAUGAGGGGGUUGCAGGGACAGAAAUAAGAGAUGUCUCACUGCCCUAGAAUUGAGUUUAUUGCACUCACAGCUGUCAUAGGCCUAAGAACACACCCUUUCCAGUUCCUGCUGGAUUCUAGGGAGCCCAAUUUCCUAACAGAUGGCUGGGCCCUGAGUCCUGGCCCUGAUCUGGAGCAUCAGCUGUGUGACCUAUGCUAGUCACUUAGGCUAAGAAGACUGGUCUUCAUAGAAUCUACUUCAUAUUGUUGCUAUGAGUGAAUGCUUACAAAAAGCUAAGUUUGCUGCUCAGCUACUGGUCUUGGGGCAGUAUCUUUGACAUGUGAGCCUGGGCCAUGUGACCAAUGAUGUCACAAUGCCCUACUGGACUCCAACUUCUCCACUAGGGAGUUCCAGAUCCUUUGGAGCCAAGGACUGGAACUGACAUGCAAGACCUCUACCAACUGAGGGUUUCAUGAGCACACUCCUCUGCCAAGAUCUUGGUGAAGAGUCUUUGACUACAGUUGUGUCUUAGACAUUGUUUUAUUUGUUAUCAUGAUCGUGCUUGGCUGGAUGCUUUUUGUUGGACUUGCAUGUUACAUGGGCACAUUUCCGGAGUUCAUGCCUCCAACUCUGAAGUGGAAGGAAAAGUGGCCUGUUCAGGAGAACAAGACACGACUGAGGAGCUGGGCUUUGGAUGAAGACCCGCAACUCUGAGAACCAUGUGGAAGGGAUAUAAGUAUCCCCCAGGAGGGACCCCGGUGGAAGUAAGCAAAGAUGAUCCUGGUGAAGUAAUGCAGCUCUGAAGCUCACCUGACCAGCUGUACAGUUCCUGUUGUUGGUUUAGCAUAAAUAUUGCUCUAGGCUAGCAAUCCCAGCUACUUCAAGCACCGACAAAGUGAUCUUCAGAUGCAAGCAUGGGGAGCAAUCCUGUUAUAAUUGAUUAUAGAUCAAAAGUUGCAAAAUGGCUGCCUCCAGAAAAUUUUGUUGGCCCAUACUGUUCUUUAAAAGGAAAUAUAACUACUAUAACACAUGGUAGGUUUCUUUUGAAUACAUAGAGCUUGGUACCUAUCAUUUUAUAUCCAGACUACUUCAAGAACUUGCAUUAUUACCAUUUUAUAUCCAGACUACUUCAAGAACUUACAUUAUCUACCUGGUCCUGAAGACAUCUGAAUUUGACAACCUGAUUAAAGUCCCUGAACUCCU